GACGAACGCUGGCGGCGUGCUUAACACAUGCAAGUCGAACGGAAAGGCCCUGCUUUUGUGGGGUGCUCGAGUGGCGAACGGGUGAGUAACACGUGAGUAUCCUGCCCUUGACUUUGGGAUAACUUCAGGAAACUGGGGCUACUACCGGAUAGGAGAUCCUGCUGCAUGGUGGGGGUUGGAAAGUUUCGGCGGUUGGGGAUGGACUCGCGGCUUAUCAGCUUGUUGGUGGGGUAGUGGCUUACCAAGGCUUUGACGGGUAGCCGGCCUGAGAGGGUGACCGGGCACAUUGGGACUAAGAGACGGCCCAGACUCCUACGGGAGGCAGCGGUGGGGAAUAUUGCACAAUGGGCGGAAGCCUGAUGCAGCAACGCCGCGUGCGGGAUGACGGCCUUCGGGUUGUAAACCGCUUUCGCCUGUGACGAAGCGUGAGUGACGGUAAUGGGUAAAGAAGCACCGGCUAACUACGUG
rnacentral:rRNA from 1 species